rnacentral:rRNA from 1 species
UACGUAGGGUGCGAGCGUUAAUCGGAAUUACUGGGCGUAAAGCGUGCGCAGGCGGCGCCGCAAGUCAGGCGUGAAAUCCCCGGGCUUAACCUGGGAAUUGCGCUUGAAACUACGGUGCUGGAGUGUGACAGAGGGAGGUGGAAUUCCACGUGUAGCGGUGAAAUGCGUAGAGAUGUGGAGGAACACCGAUGGCGAAGGCAGCCUCCUGGGUCAACACUGACGCUCAUGCACGAAAGCGUGGGGAGCAAAC